AUUGAACGCUGGCGGCAUGCUUUACACAUGCAAGUCGAACGGCAGCACGAGUGCUUGCACUUGGUGGCGAGUGGCGAACGGGUGAGUAAUACAUCGGAACGUAUCUUAGAGAGGGGGAUAACGCAUCGAAAGAUGUGCUAAUACCGCAUAAUCUCUGCGGAGAAAAGUAGGGGAUCGUAAGACCUUGCGCUUUUAGAGCGGCCGAUGUCUGAUUAGCUAGUUGGUGAGGUAAAGGCUCACCAAGGCAACGAUCAGUAGUUGGUCUGAGAGGAUGGCCAACCACACUGGGACUGAGACACGGCCCAGACUCCUACGGGAGGCAGCAGUGGGGAAUUUUGGACAAUGGGCGCAAGCCUGAUCCAGCCAUUCCGCGUGCAGGAUGAAGGCC
rnacentral:rRNA from 1 species